rnacentral:rRNA from 1 species
UAGCGAACAGGAUUAGAUACCAUGGUAGUCCAUCUCUUAACAUAUGGAUACUACAUGUUGGAAGCAAUUUCAGUGGUUAAAAUAAAAGUAUAAGUAUCCCACUGGGGGAUUACGUUCGCAAGAAUGAAAUUCAAAGGAAUUGACGGGGGCCCGCCCAAGGGGCGGAGCAUGUGGUUUAUUUCGGUGAUCGCUGGGAUCCUUUACCAAGGCUUAAAUGUAGAUUGGCAGUUUGGGAAUCAGAUCUUUUGCAAGACAAUUUACAAGGUUCUGCAUGGUUGUUUUCAUCUCGUACCAAAAGGGUUCAGGUUAAGUCGUACAGUGAUCGCACCCCCGGCAGUUAGUGACCAGGGAGUCAUGUCGGGAACUAUAACAAGCCUGCCAGUGCAAAGUGGGAGGAAGGUGGGGAUGUCGUCAACUCAUCGGGGCCUCUCCGCCUUGGGACCCCCACCCGUUGCAACGGCGGUAACAGGGAGCAGCCACUGGUAGCCCAGGAGCGAAUCUAUAAACCCGGUCCCAGUUGGGAUCGGAGAAUGCAACUGGACUCCGUGAAGCUGGAAUCGCUAGUAUUCGGAUAUCAGCCAUGAUCCGGUGAAUACGUUCCCGGGCGCAGACCACACCCCCCGCCAAGCCACGGAAUCUGGGGGUGCAAG